rnacentral:rRNA from 1 species
AAGUCGUAACAAGGUUUCCGUAGGUGAACCUGCGGAAGGAUCAUUAUUGAAAUAAACCUGAUGGGUUGUUGCUGGUUCUCUAGGGAGCAUGUGCACACCUUGUCAUCUUUAUAUCUCCACCUGUGCACUUUUUGUAGACCUUUUCAGGUCUAUGUUGCCUCAUUUUACCCCAAUGUAUGUCAAUAGAAUGUUGUGCCUAUAUAUAAUAUAUACAACUUUCAGCAACGGAUCUCUUGGCUCUCGCAUCGAUGAAGAACGCAGCGAAAUGCGAUAAGUAAUGUGAAUUGCAGAAUUCAGUGAAUCAUCGAAUCUUUGAACGCACCUUGCGCUCCUUGGUAUUCCGAGGAGCAUGCCUGUUUGAGUGUCAUUAAUAUAAUCAACCUUCUCUUGUUUUGAGAAUGGUUUGGAUGUGGGGGGUUUGCUGGCCUCUCUCAAAAGGUUCAGCUCCCCUGAAAUGCAUUAGCAGAACAACCUUUGCUCAUUGGUGUGAUAACUAUCUACGCUUAUGAAUAUGAGGGGCAGUUCAGCUUUCUAACGGUCUUUGGACAAUUCAUCAUUAAUGUGACCUCAAAUCAGGUAGGACUACCCGCUGAACUUAA